CACAUGGAGAGAGUGGCAAACUACAUCACGUGAUCCGGUCUCCUGUCAUUGGACCUGGUAAUCAAACUCUGCAGAGCCAUGGUGGGGGUAUACCGUUUAGGUUAGAUGACUGCAAAAGCAGUACGCUUGUCACUUUGUGCUGCUUUUCUCCUCAAUUUUACAAUUGAUAAGGUCUUUAUAUCUGAACAGGAUUUGUGCAUAUUAUAAAAUGCCUGCCAGGUGCAGUGCUCCAAGAUGCAAAAACUCCAAUAAAGAAGAAUAUUGCUGCACAUCAUUUGCCCAAGAUGCAAACUCGAGACAAAAAUGGAUUGAUAUUGCCGGAAUUCCUAAUUGGAAACCUUCAAAUCAGCUUUACUGUAUUCAUUACAUUUGCAAAACAAACUUGGUAUGGCACCUUUCCUCAUAACAUUUUUGCUACCAACGUGGAAUAAUUCUGAUGGAUGGAAAUAAACCUAAAAAGUAAGAGGUACACAUUAGAGAAAAAUAUCUGUCCCACCAACUGUCAUUAACGUAACAUCAAUAUAUUAGAAUUUUUCACGCAACUACGUAAUCGUGUUACAUACACUCGCAUUAUU